GAAGCAUGGCCAACACAAUCAGGCAUGAUCUCACUUUGUUCCAUCCCAAGUUCUAAGAGACUGGAAAGUGUUCCAGUUGACCUAGCACAGAUUGCCUAUCCAAGACCAAUCAAUGGAGGAGGCCAAGUUGGUGAGAAUGAUAUUUGUUUCCAUCCAAGCCACAUGCAUAGGCCCCAAGGCUCUGAGAUGAGGGCAAGUCAACAACAUGGCAGAUCACUGCAACAAAGAAGAAACUGUGAGUGGCUCAGAAGCUCUGAGGAAUACCGGAGAAGAAAGUCAUACAGAACCCCUACUGUAUCAGGGAGACCUAAAUAUCCCCUAUGUGCUCAAGCUGAUCCUGCUCCGAACUCUUAAAAAGCUCCCUCUAUCAUGGCUCAACUUGCCUAUUCUCUGUGGGCAACAUACAGAAUCCAAGAUCUGGUACAAGAAGUUCCCCGAGCAAGUGAAAGAGUUGUGUUUGCACUGCGAGUCCAUCCUUGAAGGUUUUCAUGGAGACCAUGCACCCU
rnacentral:lncRNA from 1 species